rnacentral:lncRNA from 1 species
GGUUGCAAAGGUUACGACCUCUAGUCACAAGACUGAUUUCCAAAUUCGUACUUCCUAGAACAACAGUUCUCAGUAAAACAUCGGAUGAACUGUUCUGUUUUUUACCUUUGUUCUUCGAAGAAAAGCAAGCGUAUGUAGGUCAAUAUAUGAAACAGUUUCUACUGGUUAUGUUACAAGAUGUAACUUAACUUCGAUCGUGAUUGUAUCGUAAAGAAUAUGGCCGAGGGUUACGACACAACUCGCUUUCAUUCAACUAUUGACGAGGGCUUUGUUUGCUGUAUCUGUCUCGGUGUCUUACAAGAUCCAAAGCAAUGUGAGAACAACGAGCACUAUUUCUGUUCUGGUUGUAUCAAGAAACACCUGGAGAAGACCUCCCAUAGUUGUCCUGUCUGUCAAGACAAACUGACGGUAGAGACAUUGCGUAAGGCUCCAAGAAUUGUGGCCGACUGUGUUUCCCGUUACAAGAUCAGUUGUGACCAUGUAGCGAGAGGCUGUGAUGCGGUCCUCGAGCUUGGAGCUCUACAGGCACACGUUCAGGACUGUGAUUUCAUGCCUGUCACUUGCUCAAAUGAAGGUUGUGCCGAAGUCGUGAGCAAACGCGAUGUAAAGCAACACGAGCUUGAUUUAUGUCGCUUCAAGACGACGACCUGUGACGACUGUGGCAAAAAGAUGCCUCAUCAUAAAUAUGGCGCCCAUGGCUGCGUUCUACGACGUGAUGUGGACGAAAUGAAGAAAGAUCUAGCAGAAGUGAAAGCCACGCAACAUGAAAUUAUGACGUGCGUCCAACGGAUGACGAUUGCGGUUGAAAGUCUUCAAAAGUCUGCAAACUCCAAGAGUACUGAUAUUAUUGUCAUCGCAGGUUUCAAUCCCAAAACAAAGAAGGACGUUUCUUCUGUUGAGCGAUUUAACUUGUUCAACCAAACCUGGACACAACUGCCUGCGUUGAAAAUAGCUCGAGAGAGUUCUGGAGCUGUGAUGUUUAAGAAUCAAAUAUUUGUUUGUGGCGGGUUUAACGAGUCUGAUAAACGUCUGGAUAGCAUCGAAGUAUUGGAUCUGAAUGGUAAUCCUCCAGAAUGGCACGAGUUUUUUGUCAAUCUUCCUAUCAAGGUCUAUGGUCACAAGUGCGUCGUCCAUGGGAAUCGUUUGCUGAUUAUUGGUGGCCAAACGAAGCCAGAUGAGAAUUUGGAUACGAUAUACGAGCUUCUCCUUGUUCCUCCGUAUUCAUGCAAGUUGCUUUGUCACAUGAAGAAGAAACGAGCGUGCCAUGGAGUGGAGUUGUUCAAUGAUAAGGUUUUAAUCGCUGGUGGAAAUGGAGCGGAAACCGAUGUGGAAAUAUUCGACAUAGCAAGAAAUGAAUGUGUUGAAAUGCCACCAUUGCCAUCUCCAGUUAUGUAUAUGGGGACAGUUCGCCGUGGUGACACCAUGCUUUUGAUUGGAGGCAAGGAGAAUAACGACGCAGAUAAAUUCAGCAAUAAGAUUAUCGAGUACGAUUUCAAAACUGGCCAGAGUAAGGUCCUAUUGGCCAUGAAAACGGGACGAGCUGGUUGUUCGUGUAUUUCUCGUGGAAACACGCUUAUUGUAAUUGGUGAUGCGCAGAACGAAUUUGCUGCAGUGGAUUGUUUCGACUUUUUAUCAAAUUCUUGGAAGAGAUUGGCCUCAAUGGCUGAGGCAAGGGCUUUAGCUUCUGUAGUUGUUGUGAAUAUGGAAAAUUUGGAAUUUUGACAGUUGUUAACGAAUACCGACAUCUAUCUAAUUUUAUACAUCCUUUUAAAACAGAUGGAACUAAUAUAGACGAAGACUGUAAGAACAGCCUUGGAACAAUAGUUAUUGCUUAACUUUGUUAAAGAGGCCUAGCUUUUUGUCAAUGUUAUGUAUCCAAGUGAUUUUGUAAAUAAAAUGCUCAGCAA